GGGGGACUCUGAGCCUGCAGAGAUGGAUGGGGAAAAAGUCUGUGUUUAUUUAAAAGACUAACUGGGGGCAUGGCUAAAUUUUGCUUUUCUAUUUGGCCAUGCCAUGACUAAGGAAAACAAAGGCUAUUGCAGCUGCUGCUUCAGGAAAAGGCAAUCGCUGCCAUUCACCUAAUUUAAAUUUUAAGAUGUUUAGAUGUUAAAAAUCUGCCAGAGCACAGUUUCUGUACAUUAGAAAUGGCUCAGUAGCUCAGAGCCCGUGAGAAGCUGGCCCUACGUGUUCUCUACUCCACAAUGCUCUUAGAUGACCGGUAAGCUUGGGCGACAACAGUGUUUCCACUGCCCGUUCAAAACUCUCCUUGGCCUGCUUUCCGGAAGCAGAGUACUACAUUGCAUAAUUAACAAUGAAAACUAGCAGCUUAAAUGCCUUUUCUCUGCAGAGGUCAGAUGCUCCCAUUUAUCUACUAAAUACCACUCUAUCCCUCAGCGUCCAGGAGUGAAAGAACCUGGACAAAUAAGUCAAGUUAAUUUCUUAAACGUGCUGCCAGAGUCCUUUCUGCUCUGUUACUUUUACUUUGAGGACACCUAGUGGCAGUUUAUAGGCAGCGUUCUUCAAGGCAAACCGAAAGAAACUUCAGGAUGUAGUAACUGUGGAGAAAGGCUUGCAACCGGACUUGCCGUUAGCCCGAAGACAAAAGAAGUGAGUAGAUUUUCCUUCCUUUUGUUUCUCUACUGCUGUGGAUGGGCCAGCGCCAGAUUCUGGAGCCAAAUUCCCACUCCCGCCUUUCACCGUCAUCAAACAAAAUUCCCGUGGCCUAAUUGUUUCACAAGUGGUUUUUAAUGAGCUCAUUGUUUAUUUGACACCAAUGAGGACCUUUUAAAGACCACAGAAUGGCCACAAUCGGGUCAAUUCAUCAAUUAAUAAACAAACAUUGAUAGUGUGCCGUGGGCCGACAUUUUGAGGGGAUUUACAAAGAUGAGAUGGAUUCUAAGUGAAAGGGAAUUUUUUUCCCUUUACCUCUGGUGAUGAAGUCUCCUUCACAGCUGUGUCCUCAGAGCCAAUGACCUAAUCUCUUUGACUCUCCUUCUCUUCUUCUGUAAAAUGGAGGUGAUUGUGAAGAUUACAUGAAAACCAGGACAACCUGCUUGGUGCCUGGUAUCUGGUAGAUACCGAAUAACCGUUAAGAUACUUCUCUCUCUACUGCCUUCCCCUACCCCAUACCUAGAGUGUGUUCUUUGCUGUAGCUGUCGUCUGGACAGAAGUGCUCACCGCUGCACAGAACUCUGCCAAGGCCACUCUGAGGCAUCCACAUCUGAGUCCUGGGAGCUAAACACACCCACAGCUGUGGUUCUCCCUUGCAAUUCGGAUCUACUGGCUUGCCCUGGAUCCAUCUUACAACCCUGUUCUAUUGAAUCAAGAUCUGGAUGACACAUUGUCUUGGCAGUUGCAAAGCUCCCAGGUCGUCUUCAGGGCCUGAUGACAGAAACGGAUCCUCUUCCAAGACAAAUGCUCAUAUUUACAAAUAUUUUACACACUAUUUUGGAACAUUCUUGACAUGCUUCCUCCGCUGAAGUCCAUAGAUUUCAGAUGUCCUUCUAGUUCCCGGUUGGACAGUGAACACCUGAGCCCUCCACCUGAAGAGCAACAUGGAAAGUUUGGAUUAGAGGAAGGAGCGCUGUUUGUUCCCUGCACAUAUUUUCAGGGUCUAAGCACAGUCAGCACCAUCUGAAGUUUGGUUCAGCAGAAUUGAGGAAAUCUUGGCCUCCACAAAGAAGAAAAGUCCUAAACUGGAAAAGUGUUAAAACUACAGAACUCCAAAACAUACUUAAUCCUGGUGUGAUGCACGAAACAGGACUAAGAAAAGCUGUUCAAUGGAGAGAACUCGCUGAACACUGUUGGAUUCAGUGGCAUGUAAGAUACCCGGGAAGUAGAGAAGACUGGUGGAAGUGAAUCAUUUGGAAUCCUAAAGAGCAGCCAGAUGUCCCUUCUUCAUACAGGGUCCGGAUAAUCUCUGCAGCUUUAACAACUUUUCAAGAGAAAUAAUUUGUGAAGCUCAGUGGUGUUCAAAACAGGAUGCUACAUUUUUGUGGUAGUAUUUUGUAUUUCCUAGAAAGCAGGAAAAACUAAGACUGAAAUCUAUAAUAUCACGAUCUGUAUCAUACAUUCUCUUUUUCUGGAUCUUUUCCCAUUCUGGCAGGAAAGUGAAAUGACACUGAGACAUUCUCAGAAUGUAUGGAAUAGUAAUUUCUUACUAAUUUAAUGGUUGUUCAGUUAGGUUAUGGGGUAGCAAGCUUUUCUUUUGCAUCUUGAAUGUUACUUUACCUGUUGACAUGGCACCAUUCUUAAAGUCAAAGACUCACGUAGGAUUUAUUCAUUUAGUAGUGUAAGGUGGGGUCAAUCAUCAGUCCUUUUCAAAUCUCACUCUCUUUUUCUUCCAUCUGCUCAUUUUCUUAUUCUGAGGUUCCCUUUUUCUUAUUAAUACUACCACUCAUCCUGGUCAACUGUAUUCGAAGUCUGUGGAGCAUUUUGACUGUCCCUACCCUAGAUGAUUUCUCCAUCAAGCAGCGUCUCUUUCCACAGUCUCACAUCUGUCUCCCUCCUUUCCAUUUCGUUUCCUCUAGCCUGAACCGGAGUGUUGUUAGUCUUUCGUCUUUCCUGUCACCAGUACAAGCUACACGCUGUCCUUUAAUGAAUCAUUCUGAAGAUCGAGACUAAUUGUAUCACUCUAUAGCUCAAAAACUUUCAAUAGUGUGAGGUGCUUAACAGGAAGAAGAAACAGAAGGAGAGGAGGAGGUGGAGGAAAAAGAGGAAAAAGAAGCAGGAAGUUGCCAGUGAAACAAAAUAAAAAGCUAAGAAAUUUUACUAUAUAUAAGAAUUGAACAUAAAGUACUGCUGGUAUGUCAAAUCAAUGGAAACUAUAUUUCAUGCAGUAGUAGCGCAUACUUGUUUUAAAAUAUUUAAAUUGAAUUUUUACCUUCCAGCAUACACCAAAAUAACUUUCAGAUUGAUCAGAAUAUUAAAUCUAAAAAAAUUCCUAAAAAACUUGAAAGAUAUCAGAAAUAAAUAUUUAAUGUCAAGAUUAGAAGACUUUUCUAAAUAAAAAAAGCAAAACAAGAAAAAGAUUAAACAUAACAUAAGCAUUAAAAGUCCAGUAAGAACCCAUUCUCAAAAUCCAAAGCAAAUGGCCACCGAGAAAAAAAUAUUUCCAAGAUAUAUGACAUUCAAAGUCUGAAGCCUGAGUGUAUUUAAAAUAUCAGUAUUUCUCACAAAUCAGCAAAGAGCACCCCAAUAGAAAGAAUCUGCAAAGAUUAUGGAGAGAGAAUUCACAAAAGAAUAGAAAUGAUCUAUAUCAUGAAAAGAAAGACAUCAAACUUAUUGGACUUUUUUCUUUUGUAUGUUCUUCCAUUGUUUUAAACUUAUGAAAUCCCUCCCUAUUUCAGGAUUGGCCAGUCAUUCUUUUUCUGGUUUAUGUUUUCAGUUUGCAUUUAAUAUUUUAAUUCACUCAAUUUAUUCGGAGGUAUGCUCUGAGAUAUUAGAGCCAAUUCAAUUGUUAUCUUUCCCUCCUUCCUAGAUUGUAAGCUCUUUGAGGGCAGGAACAAUGUGCUGUUUAUUUCUGUGGACCCUGAAGCAUGUGACAAACGUAUGAUGGACAAGAAUCAACAAGGAGGGGUGAAGAGGGGGGAUCAGAGAAGUUCUGAGAGAGGAGGCAUCUUUUGAGGUUAGUCUUAAAAAGUCUAAAAUAUUUUCAAGAUUUUGUCUUUUUUUUUUUCCCUUUCCUUUUGUGUGUCUCUUUUGGGUUAAUCGUGGCUUAAAGGCAACGUAACAUGACAUAAGAUAAAAGGGUUCUGAAGAAAGGCAAGUGAGGGAGGAUUCAAAUAUUGAUGCCACGAAUCACUUAUGUCACUCUGAGCCUCAAUUCCUCAUCUUUAAAAUAGAUAUACUGAUCACUACUUGCACGGUUGUUAAGGAGAUAAAAUCCCAGGUUUGUAAGGUGAUCAGUGUACUGGUUCUAUUCUCUUUGUACGCCUCAGUUUUUUUGACAUUCUGGGAGGGACACUGUGCAUCUCUUAGCCUCUUUCUCUGUAGUGAAGUAAAACUGUGGUAGUCGGGCCGGCUCUGUGGCCGCUCCGCUGCGGCGGCCCAGGGUUCAGAUCCUGGGCGCGGACAUGGCACUGCUUGUCAGGCCACGUUGAGGCGGCGUCCCACAUCCCACAACUAGAAGGACAUGCAACUAAGAUAUACAACUGUGUACAGAGGGGGUUUGGGGAGAUUAAAAAAAAGCAGAAAAAACCCCCCCAAAAACAAAAAAACUGUGGUAGUAUUUAUGAAAACGUCUUGUAACAUGGGAUUUUUCUCACAGCAUAAAGUACUAUUAAUUAAGUUUUUUGGUACAUAUUUAAGUGUAAAUUGCUUGUUAUGCUUUUGUUAAUGGUAAAUGGAAUGGAAGUGAUGUUUGAGUGAAAAGGUUCAGAGUAGAUAAACAGAGGUAAGACAACAGAACAAGGUUAAGUGUGAAAAACAGAUAACCAAAAACAAUUCUAAUUUGUUCGAGUCACUCAGUAGAAAUGGCUUGGACUGGGGGGUCAGGCAAACAUGAGUUGGAGUCUCGCCCUGCCGUAAACUCUCUGUGGUACCUUUGGCAAGUUACUUGCCCUCAUUGAGACUCGGUUUCUCCACCUAUCAAGCUGGGAUUAAUAACAUUCCCACAGCAGGGGUGUUGUGAAGACCAACGAGAUGAGUAAAUGAAAGCAUAUGGCACACAGUUGACGUUUGAUACAUGCUUCUUUUUUUGCUUCUUUUCUUUUCCCUCAAAGACUAAAUAGCAAGCCUGAUUCACCAUAACACCUCUGGGCAUUUAUGUGUUUAAAAGACAUGAAUAUGUUUUCUUAAGUACCCAACCAACUACCAGCAAGUGCCUUAGGCCUCAGGGAGAAUAGAUCUCACUUUUACAAAUGCGUUCAGACUUGAUCCCCUUGUUUACGCAAGGAUUUUUGGAUCCAUGUAUGUCUCAUGACACAGUCUAAACCUCCAUGCAUACUCAGUUAAUCAUCCAGAUUUGUCUUGCAGGCACACAGCCAUCAUUUUUGCUCUUGUGAAAACUGAGAACAUUGUGUACUUUUUCCUUUGUUUCAGGGGGCUAUCGUUCGUUGUUAUCACUGCCUACUUUUUAAAUUUUGUGAGCUGUAAAAUGUAGUACGAUAUGUUCCUGAGUCUUUUUUUUCCCACUGAGAGUAUUUAAGUUGAAUGUUUCUUUAAUAGUCUGGGAGGGAUGAUGCUGGUAAUAAAACAAAGCAUCGAAAUUUAAAAAAUAAGCAGUACAUUUAUAGCAAUUAUGUAGGGAUGUUAUUAGUGAAUAAAUACAGUAUUACAGAAUAAUAUAUCUAGGGUGAAAAAAUGCUAAUCACUAUAACCCAG
rnacentral:lncRNA from 1 species